rnacentral:rRNA from 1 species
AUUGAACGCUGGCGGCAGGCCUAACACAUGCAAGUCGAGCGCGAAAGUUCUUCGGAAUGAGUAAAGCGGCGGACGGGUGAGUAAAACAUGGGAAUCUGCCUGGUAGUGGGGGACAACGUUUCGAAAGAAACGCUAAUACCGCAUACGCCCUACGGGGGAAAGGGGGGGAUCUUCGGACCUCUCGCUAUCAGAUGAGCCCA